rnacentral:rRNA from 1 species
CCCUUAGAUGUUCUGGGCCGCACGCGCGCUACACUGAUGCAUUCAACAAGCCUAGCCUUGACCGAGAGGUCCGGGUAAUCUUUGAAACUGCAUCGUGAUGGGGCUAGAUUAUUGCAAUUAUUAAUCUUCAACGAGGAAUGCCUAGUAAGCGUGAUUCAUCAAAUCGCGUUGAUUACGUCCCUGCCCUUUGUACACACCGCCCGUCGCUCCUACCGAUUGAAUGUGUUGGUGAGGAGCUCGGAUUGGCAGCAGUUGGUGGUUCGCCACCGGCUAUUGCUGAGAAGUCCUCCAAACCGCCCCAUUUAGAGGAAGGAGAAGUCGUANCA